UUCCUGUCCAACGUUAAUCGGGGCAGGGUGAGUCGACCCCUAAGGCGAGGCCGAAAGGCGUAGUCGAUGGGAAACAGGUUAAUAUUCCUGUACUUGGUGUUACUGCGAAGGGGGGACGGAGAAGGCUAUGUUGGCCGGGCGACGGUUGUCCCGGUUUAAGCGUGUAGGCUGGUUUUCCAGGCAAAUCCGGAAAAUCAAGGCUGAGGCGUGAUGACGAGGCACUACGGUGCUGAAGCAACAAAUGCCCUGCUUCCAGGAAAAGCCUCUAAGCAUCAGGUAACAUCAAAUCGUACCCCAAACCGACACAGGUGGUCAGGUAGAGAAUACCAAGGCGCUUGAGAGAACUCGGGUGAAGGAACUAGGCAAAAUGGUGCCGUAACUUCGGGAGAAGGCACGCUGAUAUGUAGGUGAGGUCCCUCGCGGAUGGAGCUGAAAUCAGUCGAAGAUACCAGCUGGCUGCAACUGUUUAUUAAAAACACAGCACUGUGCAAACACGAAAGUGGACGUAUACGGU
rnacentral:rRNA from 1 species